UUUAUCCUGCCUCUAAAUGCAGAGUUGGUCUUUGUGUAGACAUGAUGCUAAUGUCAUUUUCUUUCCCCUGCAUACAGAUGGAACAUACAAACACCCAGAUGGAUUUGUGGUGGCUUGAGGACAAGGUUUCAGCAGGAGAUUAUACUAAUCAUCGACUCGAUGGGCCUGUGAGCUUGAGUUCUACGUAGAACCAGACCAUAAACAAAAAGAUCCUUCAUCUCUUUGGGACUGAAGUGCUGAGACAGUCAUUCAAAGUUCUUUUUUUUUUUUUUAAAGAUUUUUUUUUAAUUUUUUAUUUAUUUAUGAUAGUUACGGAGAGAGAGAGAGAGAGGCAGAGACAUAGGCAGAGGGAGAAGCAGGCUCCAUGCACCAGGAGCCUGAUGUGGGAUUCGAUCCCAGGUCUCCAGGAUCGCGCCCUGGGCCAAAGGCAGGCGCCAAACCGCUGCACCACCCAGGGAUCCCAGUCAUUCAAAGUUCUAAGCAGUUUUUCAGACCUUCCUGAAGAUGACCUGGAGAUUCUCCAAAAUUCAGUUUGGCGUCUACAAGGAAAAAAAAUAUGCCUUGACCUUGAGGAGUGACCCCAGUUACUGGUGCCUUCAGGAGCUACAGUGGAUAUGAUGGAUGAUAUUUGGCACAAAGAUUCCAGUGAUGGAAUUCAGAUUAUUUGUCAUUACUUUUGGUUACUUUCUGCUCUGCUGAACCAAAUCAUAGUUUUUGGGAUAAUUUGAAUACUUCUCAAUUUGAAAAAAACCGAAAUAAAGUUUGGGUAAGUCUAAGUCUUUUGCUUUUG
rnacentral:lncRNA from 12 species